CGGAUUGCAGGCUGCAACUCGCCUGCAUGAAGUUGGAAUUGCUAGUAAUCGCGGAUCAGCAAGCCGCGGUGAAUACGUUCCCGGGCCUUGUACACACCGCCCGUCACACCAUGAGAGUCGGGAACACCCGAAGUCCGUAGUCUAACCGCAAGGGGGGCGCGGCCGAAGGUGGGUCCGGUAAUUGGGGUGAAGUCGUAACAAGGUAGC
rnacentral:rRNA from 1 species